GAUGAAUGCUGGCGGCGUGCCUAACACAUGCAAGUCGAGCGGCAGCGCGAGUAGUUUACUACUUGGCGGCGAGCGGCGGACGGCUGAGUAACGCGUGGGAACGUGCCCCAAAGUGAGGGAUAACUGCCCGAAAGGGUGGCUAAUGCCGCAUAUGAUCUUCGGAUUAAAGGAUUUAUCCGCUUUGGGAGCGGCCCGCGUUAGAUUAGGUAGUUGGUAGGGUAAUGGCCUACCAAGCCGACGAUCUAUAGCUGGUCUGAGAGGAUGAUCAGCCAGACUGGGGCUGAGACACGGCCCAGACUCCUACGGGAGGCAGCAGUGAGGAAUCUUCCACAAUGGGCGAAAGCCUGAUGGAGCAACGCCGCGUGCAGGAUGAAGGCCUUCGGGUUGUAAACUGCUUUUAUAAGUGAAGAAUAUGACGGUAACUUAUGAAUAAGCACCGGCUAACUACGUGCCAGCAGCCGCCGCGG
rnacentral:rRNA from 1 species